AGUUCAAUCCAAGUUCAUCAAAAUGAUCCUCAGAAAAUUCUUGCAGCAUUUGAAAUUCCUGUUGCUGUUCUGAAGUAUAAAAUAUACUUAAGAAGACUCAGAAAACAGCAACACACACACACACACACACACACACACACACACACACAUACACAAGUGGACAAUAAAUUGCUGAAUUUAAUUCCCAAAGUGUCUGAAGAGGAAAAGGCACAUGUAAGAGAGUGAACUUCAAGGUGAACUAGAAAUUAUUCAAGAUUCUGCCCCCAAAAUGAACUUAUUUUAGUUUACAUGACAGGAACUACUUUCAGGGGUAAUUCAGGAAUUUUUGAACUAAUUCAGUUAACUUUGUUGAACCAAACCAGUUCAUUCAAGGCACUAAGUGCAUGCAGUUAUGGACUAAUGGCAAAAUAUUAUGUGUGGGUUUGUUGUGUUGUGUGUGUGUUUUUUUUGGGGGGGGGGAGAUCAUUCAAGUUCAGAUCCAAGUAUAAUAGCUGUUCUUGCAAAAGCUGUAACUUUUAAUCUCUACAAUGAUUCGGAAGAUGUCUGUCUGUCCGUCUGUCUUUAAAUGAUCAUAUCAUAAGAGAAAUUAAGAUAAUUUCCUAGUAGAUGAAUUUAAUUUCACUUUACACUCAUGCCAUCCUGACAUAUAUUUUUUGUUUUACCUAAUCCUAAAAUAACAGCUAAAAUAAUAGCUAUAGUCAACUACUGAAUGUGCUCCACAGUUCCAACUGUACUAAUUUUUAUUACUGUUGUUUGAAAGAUUGACAUCUGUCCUUUCGACAACAUUUUGUAGCUAGUUAUUGAAUGUUGAUGUCUGGACAAAAGGACAAGAAGUCUUCCUACUAGCAUAUUUAAUUUUAAAAAUACAUGGGAAUAUAUUGCAUCUUGAGAUAUAUUGAUUGCAUGCAAUAGGAAUGAUACACUGUGUGAGGACAUUUCAUAAUCAGAUGUCAUUUGUGAAACCAUUGGUAAUCAGGGGCUGAUCAAUGACUACCUAUGAACUAUUUAGGUAGGUGAAAUAUGAGUACAACAACAACCUCCUCUACCAGUCCUAUUGGUUUUGGGGUGGUGUAAACGGUCGUAAAGAAUGGAAGAUGUUCUCUCAAACUUGUUGCAUUAUUGAAAUGUCAGUUAACAAGACACACAUAUGAUAACUUCCAUGGCAAUAUUUGUUGGUACAAUGAUUUCUUCAAUGAAAGCAACUGUAUCUGAUCAGCUUGGGAUGGAAAGUGAUGCAUUUUUGGUAGGUUAUCUAUGGUUUGUAUCCACAGUUCUUACCAAUAAAUUCUUGUUAUUCCACUUUUUACUCAUCAGGAUUCUGCUGUUGGUUCGUUGAACUUUUAAGUUACUCAUGAUCAAAUUAUACCACAAUGGCUUUUGUUCAAUAACUGCUCCAAACUGUUUGUUUUUGUGUCUGUUUUAAGGACCUUCCAGAUUGCAGCAUUAUUAUAACCACCAUGGUGAUCUGAUCUUGCAUGUAGACUAUUAUCCUAGCUGCAAUAAUUUAAGACAAUUGGAUUUGGGGAGGGAAGAUAGUGGAGAAAAAUACAAAGUAUUAUGUAAAUCUCCCACUUUUCACCAUCGAGGUCUCUAAGGACCUUGCAGGGAUUAAAAAUACAGUAUUUUUGGCAUCUAUCUUGUCUCAAGAAACAAUGGAUUGUGUGCCUGGGGGUGAAGUCAAGUUGCCGUGUUAGCACCAAAGUGACCUCCUUCAGGGUGCAAGCCUGGGUAAUGUGUAUGAAGGUCCUGGACUGCCCAGACGAAAUAAUCCCACUCUUGGUCUCAUUGGUGUGGUCCAAAGGAAAGCAGAGCAAUAUGUUUGAUACCAGCUUGGUUGCAGGUCUUGCUUGAAGAAGGCAUUCAAGGCAUCAUCCAACCGUCUUAGGGACUCCACUAUGGAUUUGUGUAGGGUUGAUAUCCUGCAGGGCAGCGGAAGUUUAGGAUCAGAGUUUUCCUUCUCCUAGAUGGGCUCCCUUCCCAGGUUGAUGAGCCCCAUCUGCCCCUCACUUCCCUCUACAGCACAUGCUGAAACCACCUUCUUGACCGUUGGGCCCAUUAUUGGUCUCAACCACUCAGACUGCUGGAGCCUGUCUUCACAUGCACUGGGUCGCACUGGGCAUGGAGCCUGGGGAGUGUUGCAGGGGGCAGCACAACUAUGAUGUAGAACGGAAGGCGAGAGGUAGAGGUGUGCUGAAUUUUAGUGUCACACAGGGCACAGCUAAAAUUUGAGACCUCAAGGUCUGCCACUGACAUAGAUCAGGAAUUAUAUCAGAACACAAAGGUACAAGGCUUACUAGUUCUAAGCUAUGACCUUGUCUCAGCACCCGAGCUUGGUCUUUAGACUGACUUGCUCUUUCAGACUGACUUUCGGUUUGACUUUUGCCCCCUGGUUCAUUUGAGAUUGCUGUCCCUGAUGACAAGAACUUUUUCAGGUGUGGGUCUGUGGAAUGCUCUCUCCAGUGAGUCCCACCUUGCACCUUCAUUGAUUUCUAUUUUUGGUUGUCAUUUCAUUAUUUGUUGAGAUUUACCUUUUCUCCUAGGCUUUCGUUGGACUGAACUGAUUUUGUUCUGUUGCUAGUGUGUUGCCAAAGCUUUCUGCUGCUUUCCCCCUUUUUUAAAGGGCGUGUUUAUGAAUUGCCGGUGUUUGUAUGAAAAUGUUGGUUUGUUUCAAUGGUAAACGGCGACUAACAAAUCCGAUGAAUAAAAAUAAUUUCUAAAGCCGAGAGAGAAUUCAGAGGGGUUUUGGCUCAGACCAUAAGAAAAUGCGUGUUGUUUCUGAACAGGAUUGGGGCUUAAUUUUUCCGAAUGCACCCUCCCCAAUCUAGAACACAGCCACAUUGCUGACACAUUUUUCACGGUAAGACAAUGAGAUGUUUGUGGGGGGGAAAUAAUUUCAUUUUGUUCUGCAUACUGGUUUUGACUCAAUGGUAGCAAAGUCGUUCUACAUCUUUUAAAAAACAAGCUCCCUUAUCCAAUGAGAUUGUGGGUGCAGAAGUGUUGUAUAUAGGCAGAUCUAGUCUGUUGUGGUUGCCCGUUGCAGGGAUAUGAGGACUUGGUAUAUUCAUUGUGAAUUCAGCGUACGUUGCCUUUGAGAGAGAGAGCGAAGUGACACAUCAUCAUUUGAAUGGGUCAAGCAUAUUCAGAUGAAGACGAAUGGCGCUUAUUUGAUUUCUUUAAAUCGGAAAUGAAAAAAGUGCUCCCUGGAGAAAUCAUGUUCUCCCUGACUUAGACGAUAGACCGAGGCAAGGCCUGCAGAUAAGAACAGGCAUUUGUCUUUCUUUCUUUUUUUAAAGAAUCUCUGAAGGACGGUCGAGACUGUCAGCUCGCUGACAUGUGCAUUAUCCAUGUCAUUUUAAACAAAGUGACCUGGAGAAAAGAGCACUCUGGCGUGACAUGAUAAUGGUCUGUUGGAUGACAGGUAAAGUACACGCCAUAAAGAGAGGCUGUGUGUUAUUCCUUUGUUUAACUGACAAGUCGGAGUUUCCUUUCAUUGAGACGGGCGGCGAUCUCUCAGAUCUUCCUUCUUCGGGGUGGGGGGUUUGGGGUAGCAUCAGAAAAUGACAGGAGUUGUUAGCAAUAACAAUAGGGGGGUCCUUCAAAACAGGACGUGGGCAGGUACCAGAGGCUGGCCUGAGCAGACUGUGGCUGAGGGACCAGGGGAUCAGAAAGGUGCAUUGCCAAGCCUUCCAACAGUACACCUGGGCCCCUGACCUCUAUCCUGACCACCUGUGUUGCCAUCAGAGAUGCUGCCCAGCCUGGCCAUUGUGGCUGGCUUCUUUGCCACCAGUUGCUCACUGCCUCUCACUCCUCACCCAGGCAUGAGUACCACUUGCUAUCUGCACGGAGCUAUUGCCAUGCCAUUGCACAAGAUGCAAUGUCCAACCAUGUUGAGAAAUAAUGUGAGGACAGGUGGGAGGGGGGCACACAGGAAGUUACCGUACACUAUAUUGAUUCAUCUAGCUCAGCCUUGCCUACACUGACUAGCAGUGCCUCUCUCCAGGAUUAUGGUGAGGGGGUCUGUCGUAGCCCUACCUGGGGAUGUUGGGGAUGGAGCCUGGGACCUCCUGCGUGCAAAACAUCAGCUCUGCCAAAGUGUUGUGGCUACUUUCUGCUGUUGGUCCCUCAUCUCCCGAGUAGUCAUCACCAGGGCUCCCUGUGGUCCAGCCUCUUGUCUGGUGUUUCUUACCUUUAUUUGGGAGAACUGUAUGGAGAGGACUACUGGUGCAAGGAUGGGGAUAAAAUUCAAGGCCAGCAUAGCAGUGUUAAGAAGGUUCUGCUCUUGAUACCAGGUGGGGUAAAGAGACAGAGGGGAUAUGUGGGGCUCACGGGCUUGAACGCCUGCUCAGUAGCUUUUAUACGCAUCACAUUCUCUCCAGAGGUGGUGGUACAUUCUGUUUCCUGACAUAUUUUCCCCUUAGCAACUCAUUGUCAUAGGUAUCGGUAACACGAGCCCCACUCUCCCCUCCCUCCCCACAAUGCAGGCACACACUGUUCCCUCCCUCCCCCCUUUUCUCUCCCUUUCUUUCUUUCUUUCUUUCUUUCUUUUUUUGGUGCCCAUUUUGUGUCGAAAAUUUGUAUUUACUUUGGGAAUGUAAUUUGUUCCUCAUGGAUAAUAUGACCCUUAGCGGCGCUGGAUCAUGGGUUAGUUGAAGUGAUAUUUUCCGCUAAUGGUAGUCGUACAUCAUUGCUGUCAGCUCGGGUUAGGAGGAAAGCACAUUACAGCUCCAUUUUACCUCUGCAGGCAUCGGGGAUUAUUUGCCAUGAGUGAGUGUGACAUGACCGCACUACAGAGUGCAUUAAAAUUUUACUAGCUUCUCCAGCAAGUUCCCUGACUCCUGCUGGCACUUCAGGCAGGCAUGCUGACGGAUACCUCCGAGGGCCUAACUGCCCACACCAAGGAGACUCAAUGUCAGCGGGAAAAACAGGCUCUGCUCCUUUCCCCCCUCUCCUUGUCAUUUUUACCCCUUCGGUGGCAAGGCCCUCCUCUGAUGUUAGGCUAAACUGUUAUGGAAGGCAGGCCGUGGCAGGAGUGUCUCGUAUCCAUUCGGAUGUAAGCACUGAUCUCUUCCCAAGUGAGGAAAGGCAAGUUAUUGGGCAGAGACUGAAUACAAGGCAAGGCAAAUCGAAGCAAGUCCUUGCUAUGAGAGUAGCAUGUGGUAGAAGGGGCAUCCAGUAUUGCAUGGGCAGACUAUCUCUCCACCUGUCGGCUUUCAAGUCUCUCUUUUAAGGUGCUGAUCACGGCAAGCAAUGAAUGCACACUCCAUUCACCUCCGCAGGCAAUCAUGGGAUGGUAGAGUUCGAAGGUACUGGAAGGGUCACCUAGUCCAACCCCCUGCAAUGCAGGAACCCCUGCUAAAUAAUCACUGACAGAUGGCCACCAACCUCUGCUUCUGUUUCAGCAUGCAGUUCUCUGGUCUCUCUGAAUUGUUAUCCUGAAUUGUUAUCCUAGGCACUGCUACUGCCUAGUUUUACACUUCCUCCAUUUAGAUUGACUGGAACAUACAUGUAUCCAGUCCGCUUGAUGGUAAAUGAAGUCACAAAUCACUAGACACAUACUGCUUUAGAUACCUCCUUCAUUUCAUUCUCCAUCUCAGUACAGUGGUACCUCAGUUCUCGAAUGUAAUCCAUGUUUGGGUUCCAAAAAAUGUUUGAAAACAGAAGCAGUUACUUCCGGGUUUUCGACUUUUGAGAACCGAAAUGUACGACAACAGAGUUACCUCGGCUCCAGAACACCUUGGGAGUUGGACGUUCCAGCUCCCAAAUGAUCAAAAACCAGAAGUGAGUGUUCUGGUUUUUGAACUUUUUUGGGGGGAGCCGAAUGUCCGGCAUGACUUCUGCCAUUGUGUACGGUGUGCCUGCGCAAUCAGGAAGGUGCGCCUUGGUUUCCGAAUUUUUCGGAAGUCGAAUGGAUUUCCAGAACGGAUUCCAUUCGACUUCCGAGGUACGUCAUAUUGGACCUUUGGGGCAUGGGCAGUGAAAGUACAUCUCCAGGACUGAAUUAAUUUUGGGGCCUGUUUCAACUACCAGUAAUGAUUCUGUUUCAGUACAGAAAUCUGAUCCCUUUUGGUUUUCUAACUUGUUUUACUUCUCUUCAACGCUAUCCUCAAGACAUCCUCCCUGUCCUUCUUAUACAGUUGGAGUGACUAAUCCUUAAAAGUCUUAAGGGGUCCUAUAUAUGACAGCCCCCCCUGCAAAUAUUCUACUGAAUGUGCACACAUUUCUCCCAGGCAGUGGCAUAGUGCAGAGAGCACCCAGCCACUUCUGUCACUGGGCUCCAUUGAAAUUGGCUUCACGAGUGCGAACCAGGAAGUGACCUCUACAGACAAUGGAAUGACUUUUCUGUUCUUAUCUAUGCAGCUGUGAUCUCCUGGGUGACGCGGGCACUGUUAGGCAGUUAAAUGUGCAUAUGUAUUCUGUCCAUUUCCCUUCCCUACCCACCCCACCCCUCCACGUGGCCCUGGGCACUGGCAACUCCUGCUAUGCCACUGUCCCCAGGCAUAUUUAUUCACCAUGCUUAAGUCAUUCCAUGGCUUCCAUCCCACCCUCCAGCUGCCUCUAUAAGCUCAGGCUGAAAAGGACAUCCUUAGCCCUGGUUAAAUAAGGAUUCCUACAGUUUCAGUGACUAUCUGGAUUGUCACCAGAGGAACAUAGUAAGCUUUCUCUCCCUCACUACUGAUCAGAAAUAUUUGACUCUGUGAUUAAGCACAGUUAUUUGCACUUAGAACAAUUCAGAAGGAAGAAAAGGUUGAAGAUUAUCAGAAAUUUGACUUUGUUUUUCUUAGCAUGGGAAAGAAUUGAGGGUUUGGGGAGACUGCAGAGAUUGUCUUAAGAACCUGGCCCAAAUGUUCGGGUUAUUGAGAUUCUUUGCUCUUGUUCAACAGCAUUCAUAAACAACUCAAUAUUUUGAAAGUCUCUAAGCAGUAUGCAACAUAAACACG